rnacentral:miRNA from 1 species
CUUUGUAUCCCGGAUCCUGAUA